rnacentral:sRNA from 1 species
GAAACUCAACCGAAAGACUCCAGAGAGCAGAAGAUGGAAGGAGACUUCUCGGUGUGCAGGAACUGCAAAAGACAUGUAGCCUCUGCCCACUUCACUCUCCAUGAGGCUUACUGCCUGCGGUUCCUGGUCCUGUGUCCGGAGUGUGAGGAGCCUGUCCCCAAGGAAACCAUGGAGGAGCACUGCAAGGUUGAGCACCAGCAGGUGAGGAGGCGGCAGGGAGGAUGGGGUCUGGGAGUCAAGGCUUAUGGAUCUGGCAUAGGCAAGAGGUUCUGGUUUCAGGAAAGACUGGCUGUUCUCUUGAGAUCUGUAAAGAGAGGAUGUGAAAAAGGAAGGUCCUGAAAGGCAGUCAGAUGGAGCCCUGUUUCCCACCUUUCCAUGUCCAUUCCUCCUGGGGCCCCUGAUCUGUCUCUCUGGAGAUACUGAAGCUCAGGCAGCCAUUGCCAACUCAGACUGGUCUGACAAACACUUCUUGAACACUGGGCUGGGUGCUAGAGAGAGACUGAGGUAGCCACACCGGAUCCCUGCCCUCUGGGAGUUCACA